rnacentral:rRNA from 1 species
AUUGAACGCUGGCGGCAGGCCUAACACAUGCAAGUCGAGCGGAUGAAGGGAGCUUGCUCCUGGAUUCAGCGGCGGACGGGUGAGUAAUGCCUAGGAAUCUGCCUGGUAGUGGGGGAUAACGUCCGGAAACGGGCGCUAAUACCGCAUACGUCUUGAGGGAGAAAGUGGGGGAUCUUCGGACCUCACGCUAUCAGAUGAGCCUAGGUCGGAUUAGCUAGUUGGUGGGGUAAAGGCCUACCAAGGCGACGAUCCGUAACUGGUCUGAGAGGAUGAUCAGUCACACUGGAACUGAGACACGGUCCAGUCUCCUACGGGAGGCAGCAGUGGGGAAUAUUGGACAAUGGGCGAAAGCCUGAUCCAGCCAUGCCGCGUGUGUGAAGAAGGUCUUCGGAUUGUAAAGCACUUUAAGUUGGGAGGAAGGGCAGUAAGUUAAUACCUUGCUGUUUUGACGUUACCAACAGAAUAAGCACCGGCUAACUUCGUG